AUUCACAUGCAAAGCAUAAAGAACUAAGAAGUUUACAAUCCUCUAUCCCCUCCACAACCAAACUUAUUGCGUCCCCUCUCUAUAUUCAAAUCCACCCUCAAUGAUAGUUUCUCAUGACACCACGAAGGUGCCGGAAAAGAAUAGAAUUUUAAGAGAGAAAAGAACGCUACACGACAAUCUUGGCAUGACAAACUCGCUCCAUAGGCUUUACUUAUUCCUCCCUCCACCGAAAAUGACUCAACUCUCUAAGGUAAAAAUGACUUCUAAGGUCUAAUGUUAGGCUAGGGUGAAGGGUGUGGAAAAAUUUGGGAUUUGGAGCUAAAAUCUAAAGUGAAGCAUCAAAAUGAACUUAACUCAAGAAGAUUGGACUAAAACAAACUAUACCACUUUUUUGGGGUUCCCCAAAGCUUAUUCAACAAACAAAACCAAACUAAACAUCUGUUUGAACUUUUGUUUGCUUCCCUUUUCUCCUUUUUUUUUUUUUUCUGUGUUUCAAGUGAAACUUUUCUAAUUGCCUUGUUUUCCUCUAAUUUUGGCUUUUUCUCUAAUUUUUCCUUUUCUUUUUAUUCAACAUAUACAAGAAACUUUCCAAAAUUUCCAUUUUAAUCAACAUUCCACCAUUCUUCUCAGAUUUAAUCAAAUACCAUUGAUAAAGAUAUUUUUUUAUUUUUGCAAAUCCAUAGAAGGGUUAUGGCCUUAUCCUAUCACUUUGGUAAAUUGUACUGCAUAUAUGGUGCUUUCUUAUUAGUGUAAGUUCGAUCUUUUUUUAUUUUUUUAUGGUCUAGAGAUAUCUCUUUAUAUAAUAUGAAUUGCAACAAGCUAUCAUAAUCUCAAAGUUAUGUGAAUUAAUUCCUUCUAAUCAAUGGCUAGCAGUUGCAGUAAGCUUUGGAGGGUUGAAGAUUACAGUGUAAUAUUAGUAAAAGCACUUAUGAGAGGAGAAAUUCAAUUACGAAUAGAGGAAUUCAAGAUUUGAGAAAUUAAGCAAAGUACAAUGAAUAAAGAGUGCUAGAAUAGACCAUUUAGUGUUAUUUGAGACAAAAGUAACAUUUAUUUGACCCUUCAAUUCCAAGUAUUAAUUACUUAAGUUUUUACCGGAAGUGUCUUCCAAAAGAUACUCCUAUAUACACAGUUCACGAUAACAGCAGAAUAUAUAACUAUAUUAUAUUUUUAAUA